GUCCCGGUAGCUCAAUUGGUUAGAGCACACGGCUGUUAACCGUGAGGUUGAGGGUUCGAGCCCCUUCUGGGACG
rnacentral:tRNA from 1 species